UCUCACUCCCACUGGCCUCCCUCCCAGGAGCCCCGUCUCCUCUGUCUCCAGGUGGCCUCUGCAUCCCUGCCUGGUGGGCCUUUGCCUCCCUCUCCUGUUCCUGCCUUGCCUGCUCCCAGGUUUCCAGGUCCUGACCAGGAGGCAGGAGUCCAUACCGAGGCCCAAACAGGCUAGCCCUCAGCAGGGCCCCCAGGCCUGAGGCCCAGGAGUGGACGGACCUUUGUGACGCCCAUUCUCUCUUUCUUUUCCAUCUGUCCGGAACUCUGGACGCUGCCUGGAGGAAUCAGGCCUGCCCUAGGCCCAGGAAGGCGGAAACAAAGAAGAUGCUCAGAGACAGGAAGCAACUUGCCUAAAGACACACAGCACAGAUGAGAAAAUCGGUGCCCAAUGUUUCUGAAGACCAGCAACUGCUAAGACAGAGACUUCGAGGGAACCCGACCUUGCCUGAAGGACCAACAGCGCCCCCUGCAGGACAUUUCCCUCUACUGAGAGAAGCCACAGGCGCCAGCCUGAGGCAUUCUGAGUGGGUGGAAUCCUCUAUCACCACCUCCUGGCAAAGAACGGAGCUGCAGCCCAGCUGUAUGAGACACCAAGAAUGAUCCCAACAAAAAGGAACAGUGACCAGAAUGCCUAGGGGAGGAACAGGGGAUACUGGAUGGAAGGAGGGGAGAGGGAGAAGUUGUAAUAUUUUGUAAAAUGAACAUUUUUACUCCUAAUCAAUAUAUAAACAUCAUGCUCAGCAAACUUCUUGGUAUGAAACUUCUGAACUUCACACAUUUUCAAGUCAUUCUAUGGGUGGGUGGAUUGGCUCCCAUGGAAAUGCAACUGGGACUGCACAUGGGAAACAAAGGACAAUGGAAUUUGGUUCACACAAACCUGUUUGGGAGAUUGCAUUUCCAGGAAAUGGGCCAAAUUGUUUCCUUUGUAACAACAUUGUUGUGCCUUGCUGACUGGAAGGUGGGUACAAACAAAGGAGGAUGGACUGACA